AAUAGAUGCAGCGUAGCUCACAUCACUGACUGAACUGAUGCCCUGUAGCCUGAGAGCCUCGUGUCAGAGAGACUCUGUGUUUUCUUCGUAACAGACGGAGGACACAACAAUGUUAGAUUGUAAUCUAAUAGUUCCGGUCGUGGUCCUGUCUCUGGCAUUGCUCCUCUCUCUUUGUCUCAAUGUCGUAUUCUACGUUAAACGUAGAGCUUUCUGCAGAGAUAAAGAUAACUGCUGCUCAUCGCACAACUUUGAAGAAGAAAGCCUUACUCAGGCAGAUGAGCAUUACUUUCAUGACCUCGUGAAUCAUCAUGAGCAGCAGGAAAAUCCCCACGAUUAUCACGAACAGCUGGAAAAUCCAAUCUACGGUAACAUCAGCGUAGACAGAAGAGAGCCUUGUUACGAGACGAUGACGAAGCAGAAAACAAGAGAUGGUCUGACGGUAACGGCUGCGAUUCCAUCCUUUUAUUAUUAUCUGGAUGUUUGAUGAUGUACAUUAAGUGUUUAAACGUCCUCACGUCUUUUUUAUGUGACUUUGUCACGGCCAGUAUAGUUUUAGUUGUUUAGCACACUUCAUUAGCAGGUUUAGGGCCUAACAGCGUUGGGGAAUAGAGAAACAAAUAUUUUUUUUCAACCAAAUAAUGGUAUAAUUUUUUUAUGGAUUGUGCUCAACUUAAACAUAUUUGCUUUAGUUUCAUUGUUCAAUCACACGAAGAGGAUCUUUCUUGUAUCCACGGUAGCUCCACCCGUGCUCAUGACUUUGUUUUCGAAACGGAAGGUAGCUAACACCAUAGACGCACUGUGGUUGAAGCAGCCCCGAACCAUUGAACACAAUUAAGCACAAACUGUUCUAUAAAUAAACCAGAUGUACAGA
rnacentral:lncRNA from 1 species